UACGGAGGGGGCUAGCGUUGUUCGGAAUUACUGGGCGUAAAGCGCACGUAGGCUGACUGGAAAGUCAGGGGUGAAAUCCCGGGGCUCAACCCCGGAACUGCCUUUGAAACUCCCAGUCUUGAGGUCGAGAGAGGUGAGUGGAAUUCCGAGUGUAGAGGUGAAAUUCGUAGAUAUUCGGAGGAACACCAGUGGCGAAGGCGGCUCACUGGCUCGAUACUGACGCUGAGGUGCGAAAGCGUGGGGAGCAAACAGG
rnacentral:rRNA from 1 species